AGUGGAAUUUCUGGGUCAUAUGGUAAGUCUAUGUUUAACUUUUCAAGGAACUGCUUAACUAUUUUCCACAGUGGUUACACCAUUUUGCAUUCCCACCAGCAAU
rnacentral:pre_miRNA from 1 species